rnacentral:rRNA from 1 species
UACGUAGGGUGCAAGCGUUAAUCGGAAUUACUGGGCGUAAAGCGUGCGCAGGCGGUGAUGUAAGACAGAUGUGAAAUCCCCGGGCUCAACCUGGGAACUGCAUUUGUGACUGCAUCGCUGGAGUGCGGCAGAGGGGGAUGGAAUUCCGCGUGUAGCAGUGAAAUGCGUAGAGAUCCGGAGGAACACCAGUGGCGAAGGCGACACGCUGGGCCGUACCUGACACUGAACCGCGACAGCAUGGGGAGCAACAGGA